AACUUAAGCAUAUCAAUAAGCGGAGGAAAAGAAACUAACAAGGAUUCCCCUAGUAACUGCGAGUGAAGCGGGAAAAGCUCAAAUUUAAAAUCUGGCGGUCUUUGGCCGUCCGAGUUGUAGUCUGGAGAAGUGCUUUCCGCGCUGGACCGUGUAUAAGUCUCUUGGAACAGAGCGUCAUAGAGGGUGAGAAUCCCGUCUUUGACACGGACUACCAGUGCUUUGUGAUGCGCUCUCAAAGAGUCGAGUUGUUUGGGAAUGCAGCUCAAAAUGGGUGGUAAAUUCCAUCUAAAGCUAAAUAUUGGCGAGAGACCGAUAGCGAACAAGUACCGUGAGGGAAAGAUGAAAAGCACUUUGGAAAGAGAGUUAAACAGUACGUGAAAUUGCUGAAAGGGAAACGCUUGAAGUCAGUCGCGUCUGCCGGAACUCAGCCUUGCUUUCGCUUGGUGCACUUUCCGGUUGACGGGCCAGCAUCGAUUUUGACCGACGGAAAAGGGCUAGGGAAAUGUGGCACCCUCGGGUGUGUUAUAGUCUCUAGUCGCAUACGCCGGUUGGGAUCGAGGAUCGCAGCGCGCCGCAAGGCAGGGGUUCGCCCACUUUCGCGCUUAGGAUGCUGGCAUAAUGGCUUUAAACGACCCGUCUUGAAACACGGACCAAGGAGUCUAACAUGCCUGCGAGUGUUUGGGUGGAAAACCCGAGCGCGUAAUGAAAGUGAAAGUUGAGACCUCUGUCGUGGAGGGCAUCGACGCCCGGACCUGACGUUCUCUGACGGAUCCGCGGUAGAGCAUGUAUGUUGGGACCCGAAAGAUGGUGAACUAUGCCUGAAUAGGGUGAAGCCAGAGGAAACUCUGGUGGAGGCUCGUAGCGAUUCUGACGUGCAAAUCGAUCGUCAAAUUUGGGUAUAGGGGCGAAAGACUAAUCGAACCAUCUAGUAGCUGGUUCCUGCCGA
rnacentral:rRNA from 1 species